AACGAACGCUGGCGGCGUGCGUUAAUACAUGCAAGUCGUGCGNGAAAAGUCUCCCUUCGGGGGGACGAGGUAAAGCGGCGAACGGGUGCGUAACACGUGGGCAACCUGCCUUCAGGUUUGGGAUAAGCUCCCAAAGGGGGUCUAAUACCGAAUAAAAUCACCUUAAGGCAUCUUUUGGUGAUCAAAGGCGGCUUCGGCUGUCGCCUAAAGAUGGGCCCGCGGUCCAUUAGCUUGUUGGUGAGGUAAAAGCUCACCAAGGCGACGAUGGAUAGCCGACCUGAGAGGGUGACCGGCCACACUGGGACUGAGAUACGGCCCAGACUCCUACGGGAGGCAGCAGUAGGGAAUAUUGGGCAAUGCCCGCAAGGGUGACCCAGCAACGCCGCGUGGGCGAUGAAGCUCUUUGGAGCGUAAAGCCCUGUCAGGAGGAACGAAAUGUCCUGGCUCUAAUACAGUCGGGAUUUGACGGUACCUCCAGAGGAAGCUCCGGCCAACUCCGUG
rnacentral:rRNA from 1 species